rnacentral:rRNA from 1 species
CCUACGGGGGGCAGCAGUGAGGAAUAUUGGUCAAUGGGCGGAAGCCUGAACCAGCCAAGUAGCGUGCAGGAUGACGGCCCUACGGGUUGUAAACUGCUUUUAUACGGGAAUAACGCGCCUUACGUGUAGGGCUUUGCAUGUACCGUAUGAAUAAGGACCGGCUAAUUCCGUGCCAGCAGCCGCGGUAAUACGGAAGGUCCGGGCGUUAUCCGGAUUUAUUGGGUUUAAAGGGUGCGCAGGCGGCCUGUUAAGUCAGCGGUAAAAGCCCGGGGCUCAACCCCGGCGAGCCGUUGAAACUGGCGGGCUGGAGUUGGAGAGAAGUACGCGGAAUGCGCGGUGUAGCGGUGAAAUGCUUAGAUAUCGCGCAGAACCCCGAUUGCGAAGGCAGCGUACCGGCUCCACACUGACGCUGAGGCACGAAAGCGUGGGUAUCGAACAGGAUUAGAUACCCCUGUAGUC